rnacentral:rRNA from 1 species
ACAGUGGACGCGAGCAUCUGUGGCCAAGUUUUUAAGGGCGCACGGUGGAUGCCUUGGCACCAGGAACCGAUGAAGGACGUGGGAGGCCACGAUAGUCCCCGGGGAGCCGUCAACCAGGCUUUGAUCCGGGGGUUUCCGAAUGGGGAAACCCGGCAGUCGUCAUGGGCUGUCACCCAUACCUGAACACAUAGGGUAUGUGGAGGGAACGCGGGGAAGUGAAACAUCUCAGUACCCGCAGGAAGAGAAAACAACCGUGAUUCCGGGAGUAGUGGCGAGCGAAACCGGAUGAGGCCAAACCGUAUGCGUGUGAGACCCGGCAGGGGUUGCGCAUGCGGGGUUGUGGGAUCUCUCUU